GCCGCAGUCGUAGAUUUUGACUUUGAGACACAGAUGUCUCUGUCCUUCAUAAAUGUUGCUAUUCGCAGCCACUGGGAACUUUAUGACACCGCAGAGGGCAGAAUCGCUACAUCGUCGGCCAGCGCGUUAUGGCUUUCGCAGAUGCAGUGUCACAUCACGAUGAAAACAAAGAUAUACGCAGACACAGACAUUCAAAGAUAUGUGUGCACAGACGCUGCGAGGCUCAGAGUCAGACACAUUGCGCGGAGAAUAUCUUCGCAUGAAAGCCUGCCUCCCAACACUUUUGGCUUUCGCAGAUGCAAUGUCACAUCUCGAUGAAAACAAAGAUAUACGCAGACACAGACAGGCAAAGAUAUGUGUGCACAGAUGCUAAGAGGCGCAGAGUCAGACACAUUAUUGUGCGGAGAAUAUCUUCGCAUGCAGCCUGGCCUCCCAACACUUUUGGCUUGGCUGACGAGGUUUGAGGUUUCAAGGAUGACUUAGCGCAGGGCCAGUCGGGAGUUCAAGCGAAUAGAAAUGCACGAUAACCAGACGAUUGACUUGUGUAGACAGGAGUUUAAACUGUGUAUUGUUUUUUAAAUUACUGUGAAAUACACAUUCGGAAACACCAUCCAUCCAUCCAUCCCCCCCUUCUCUUCUGCAAUGCCAUUGUCUCAUGUUUAUGAAAGCAAAUAUCAAAAGUAAUCCUUGUGUGACUUAAUCCUAAUCCCUGGGUUUUGUGUUGUGUUUGUUUUUGUUUUUAUCCCUUUAAUCCCAACAGGGCACGCCAGGACGAGACGGCUAUCCGGGCCCCCUCGGCAUGGACGGGAAGCCAGGUUUACCUGGGACAAAGGGAAACCAGGGAUUGCCAGGGAUAAAAGGAGAAAAGGGUGACCGGGGAGACAUCGGACCCAGAAUGGUCUUCCCUCGACAUGACCACAGCUUUCUUUCAGCUGACCAGCAUGCUUUUCCAAGGCGCCUUUUGAAGGGAGAUCAGGGCCAGGCCGGGCCCCCGGGCCCCCCAGGGCCACCAGGGACCCCAGGACCCAGGGGACCUCCAGGGAACACGGGGAGAGACGGGCCAAGGGGCGCCCCCGGAGAGGUGGGCCCACCCGGACGUGAUGGCAUUGAGGGACAAAGAGGGCCCCAAGGCAUUCAGGGCGAAGACGGUGAGGAUGGCGAGCCAGGACCUCAGGGGCCCCCGGGAAUAAAGGGGGAGGCUGGCAUGCCUGGUGGCCAGGGAGAGAGGGGCAUCGAUGGGCUCCCGGGGAUGAAGGGAGAGAAAGGAGAAUUGGGAGAACAGGGACUGCAAGGAAUGAUGGGUUAUCCUGGAGAGAAGGGUGCCGCUGGCUCCUUCGAGCUGACAGGAGAACUCCACCAUGCUCUUCGGGGACCACCGGGCCCACAGGGAGACCAAGGACCCAAGGGAGAGCCCGGUUCGCCUGGCACACACGGUGCAGAUGGGCCACAGGGAGAGAGAGGAGAGAGGGGAGAGGACGGCAGCCCAGGGUACCCAGGGGAGAAAGGAGAGAGGGGAGAGAUGGGCCUGUCUGGGCCACCGGGUUUGGACGGCCAGAGGGGAGAAAAGGGAGAUGCCUGGAUCCAGGACAACCUGGCCCAGAUCAUCUCACUGCCAGGGCCUCCAGGGCCUCCCGGACCCCCCGGGGCCCAAGGACUGCAGGGUCAUCAUGGAAUGCCUGGCCUGAAGGGCGAGCCGGGUGAUGUCGGCCGAGGACAGAAGGGAGAGAAUGGGGAUCAAGGUCUCCCGGGUCCCAGAGGUUUCCCCGGUCCAGCGGGUAAUGACGGCCUAACUGGCGUCCCAGGUGUCAAAGGGGAAAAGGGCAAGCCUGGCCUGCCUGGAUUAGAUGGUUUUCCCGGACUGAUGGGAGAGAAAGGGGAGAUUGGACCCAGAGGAGAGAAGGGGGACCGUGGCCCAGUGGGCAAGAAGGGGCUGAAGGGGCAGAAAGGCGAGCAGGGCCCUCCUGGACUAGACCAGCCCUGUCCUGUGGCCUCAAGGGAGAGACGUGCUGGGUAAGCAGGGUGGCUCUCCGACGCCCUCUGCCCCACGGGUCGAGAUGGGCUGCCUAUACCAGGAUGUUGGAACAAGUGAUCUUUGUCUUUGAAGCAUGGGAUUUGUACAUAUCGAUAUAUAUUUUGCAGCUAACACACUUUUGCCCUUUUUAAACAUUUUUUUCUAUUUAAUAUAUUGAGGAUUUAUACAGCAUCUGUCUAUUUUUGUGUUUUAUGUUUUGUUUUGUUUUUACAUAGACUACGGCACUACAUUUAAAUAUUUGAAUGAAGGAUGGUUUCUAUGGCAUUAGUGUGAUGUUUUGUAUCGGAACAGCUGAAUGGG